UACGGCUAUAUCACGUUGAAACAACAGUUUCCGUACGACCACCGAAGUUAAGCAACGUCGCGCCUGGUCAGUACUUAGAUAGGUGUCCACUUGGGAAUACCAGGUGCU